rnacentral:rRNA from 1 species
ACAUCCAGAGAAUUUAGCAGAGAUGCUUUAGUGCCUUCGGGAACUCUGAGACAGGUGCUGCAUGGCUGUCGUCAGCUCGUGUUGUGAAAUGUUGGGUUAAGUCCCGCAACGAGCGCAACCCUUUAUCCUUUGUUGCCAGCACGUAAUGGUGGGAACUCAAAGGAGACUGCCGGUGAUAAACCGGAGGAAGGUGGGGAUGACGUCAAGUCAUCAUGGCCCAUACGAGUAGGGCUACACACGUGCUACAAUGGCGUAUACAAAGAGAAGCGACCUCGCGAGAGCAAGCGGACCUCAUAAAGUGCGUCGUAGUCCGGAUUGGAGUCUGCAACUCGACUCCAUGAAGUCGGAAUCGCUAGUAAUCGUAAAUCAGAAUGUUACGGUGAAUACGUUCCCGGGCCUUGUACACACCGCCCGUCACACCAUGGGAGUGGGUUGCAAAAGAAGUAGAUAGCUUAACCUUCGGGAGGGCGUUUACCACUUUGUGAUUCAUGACUGGGGUGAAGUCGUAACAAGGUAAGCGUAGUGCU